rnacentral:rRNA from 1 species
UAUGUGAUCGUCUCUCGCAUAUCAAUAAGCGGAGGAAAAGAAACUAACAAGGAUUCCCCUAGUAACGGCGAGUGAAGCGGGAAGAGCUCAAAUUUGAAAUCUUAAAGGGUUUCCCUUUACGAAUUGCAGUUUAAAGAAGUGUUUUCUGUUGAGGUUUUGGUAAAAGUUCUUUGGAAUAGGACAUCAUAGAGGGUGAGAAUCCCGUAUUUGACCUUUACUUUCAACUUUGUGAUACACUUUCAAAGAGUCGGAUUGUUUGGGAAUGCAGUCCAAAAUGGGUGGUAAAUUUCAUCUAAAGCUAAAUAUUGGCGAGAGACCGAUAGCGAACAAGUACCGUGAGGGAAAGAUGAAAAGAACUUUGAAAAGAGAGUUAAACAGUACGUGAAAUUGUCAAAAGGGAAGCGUUUGACACCAGUGUUGUUUUUCUGAAAAUCAAUUAAAGAACUGUUUAUGCUAAGUUGUUUAGACUUUAUCAGCUAACUGUUUAGUUUUGAGCUUUUCUUUAAUGCACUUUUCAGUUAACAAGUCAACAUCAAUUUCUUUUGCUGUAAAAAAGCUUGAGGAAGGUGGCUUGAGAUUCGUCUUAAGUGUUUAUAGCCUCUUGCCUAUGCAGUCGGAGAGAUUGAGGUCUGCAGCGUAGAUCCUUCGGGGCUAAAUGCAUUUGUGCUAAGUUAUAGCGUUUUAUAGACAACUUGUUGACUAUGAUUUGUCUUGUAGCUUACUCGCUUAUGUUAUUUUACCUACGCUUAGGAUGUUGAACGCGCACAGAGUCUC